GUCGUAGUGACCAGCCAGUAACCAAUAUGCAGGACAUGGAUGCAUCCAAGUGUGCUUCCUCAAAUCCCUCACCAUCAAGGAAUGAGCAGACAGACACCAGCAGGGAAYUCAACACAAACUACCACACCAACAAUCACCUAUAUGGCAACAUGGAGACUGAAGAGGAUGGUGACCCAUACGAGUGUSAUGGUGGAGACGAUGCAGUCUAUGGUAACGUGUGAACACAACAGGAAGCAUGUGGAAGUCAGCUGGCCAAGAGGCCAUGGRCCUCAGUGUGAUUCCAGUAAAAUAUUAACAUUUUAACCCAAUGUAGCAUAACAYGUGACUGCUUAAAUUUGUUAGCUUGAUGUAGCUUUAUGGUUCUAAUUGCUAAAGAAUAUGGUGCAUUCUUAUUUGGGCUGUGGCUUUGUUAUAGCUUUUACAAGACUUAUGUUUAUUAUCUAUGGUUUGGGUAAUUCAGAAAUGUAUUUMACUAAAUGUCAAUUAUCCACAAAAUAAUAACCAGUAUUUAACAAUAGCUUGUUUCACGCUUCCCCYGGUGUCUGUGGCAAUUGUGUUUUGAGGCUAAUCUGAGGAUAGAUUACGAGUGUGGGACUUUCAGUGUUUCUCCACUUGGUGUUGCUCUUUCAUUUAUUGAGAUUUUCAACGCCUGUUUAUUUCCAUAGGGUUUGAGC